GAUGAACGCUAGCGGCAGGCUUAAUACAUGCAAGUCGAGGGGCAGCACAGGUAGCAAUACUGGGUGGUAACCGGCAAACGGGUGCGGAACACGUACACAACCUUCCUUUAAGUGGGGGAUAGCCCAGAGAAAUUUGGAUUAAUACCCCGUAAUAUAGUUGAAUGGCAUCAUUUGAUUAUUAUAGCUACGGCGCUUAAUGAUGGGUGUGCGGCUGAUUAGAUAGUUGGCGGGGUAACGGCCCACCAAGUCUACUAACAGUAGCUGAUGUGAGAGCAUGAUCAGCCACACGGGCACUGGAACACGGGCCCGACUCCUGCGGGAGGCGGCAGUAAGGAAUAUUGGUCAAUGGACGCAAGUCUGAACCAGCGAUGCCGCGUGAAGGAUUAAGGUCCUCUGGAUUGUAAACUUCUUUUAUUUGGGACGAAAAAGGGCCUUUCUAGGUCAACUGACGGUACCAGAUGAAUAAGCACCGGCUAACUCCGUGCCAGCCGCCGCGGUAACAC
rnacentral:rRNA from 1 species